rnacentral:lncRNA from 1 species
GCGGCCGCUGGUGGACCGCCUGGAGCCGGGCGAGCUCAUCCCCAAUGGUCCCUUCUCCUUCUACGGAGCCUCGAGAACCAUUCUCCUUCUGGGGAGACCGGAUGGAAAAGGGGGACACGAAAUAGGAUCCAAAUCGGCCUCGAGGUGGGACUGGGAUCCGCGCACUGGCUGUCGACGUGCAGAACUGGGGCUCCCCAAAGGAAACGCAGACCUCUCCCCAACUCCCACCUGGACCCGGAUCCGUAGACAGACCCCGCGGGCGUGUGCGCCUGGCAGGCGGGCGGCGAAAAGACGUCCAGGGCAGCCGCGGGUGCGCACAGCCGUUGGCGAUGCCAGGAGCCGUGGGGAGGGAGGCCGUGAGCACAGCCGGGUGAAGGAAGUGAAGCGGCCCAGGGCGCUCCCGGGCCAGCCAGGAGGGUUCUAGCUCUGGGAUAUCCCUUAUUAGUGUUGUCUCAGAGUUCAACAACAGCGACAAAAAACUCUUAUAGCUUCAGAAACGCCGACCUGCCGUG